UGGGGAAUAUUGCACAAUGGGCGCAAGCCUGAUGCAGCAAUGCCGCGUGCGUGAAGAAGGCCUUCGGGUUGUAAAGUACUUUCAGAGGGGAGGAAGGGCUACUAGUUAAUACGGAGUGCCAAUGACGUUACUCUCAGAAGAAGCACCGGCUAACUCCGUGCCAGCAGCCGCGGUAAUACGGAGGGUGCAAGCGUUAAUCGGAAUUACUGGGCGUAAAGCGCACGCAGGCGGUUUGAUAAGUCAGAUGUGAAAUCCCCGGGCUCAACCUGGGAACUGCAUUUGAGACUGGAAAGCUAGAGUCUUGUAGAGGGGGAUGGAAUUCCAGGUGUAGCGGUGAAAUGCGUAGAGAUCUGGAGGAAUACCGGAGGCGAAGGCGGCCCCCUGGACAUGGACUGACGCUCAGGUGCGAAAGCGUGGGGAGCAAACA
rnacentral:rRNA from 1 species